GUGUGGUUGUUGCUGGCCCUCUCGGGGGCAUGUGCACACCCACCAUCCUCAUCUCUCCACCUGUGCACCUCUUGUAGACCUGGAUUGACUUUCCGAGGCAACUCGGUCGGGAAGAUUGCUGCGCUCUGUGAGCCAGCUUUCUUUGCAUGUCCAGGCCUAUGUUUUUCAUAUACCCCUAUAGAAUGUAACAGAAUGUAUCAUUGGGCCUUGUGCCUAUAAACCUUAUACAACUUUCAGCAACGGAUCUCUUGGCUCUCGCAUCGAUGAAGAACGCAGCGAAAUGCGAUAAGUAAUGUGAAUUGCAGAAUUCAGUGAAUCAUCGAAUCUUUGAACGCACCUUGCGCUCCUUGGUAUUCCGAGGAGCAUGCCUGUUUGAGUGUCAUUAAAUUCUCAACCUUAUUAACUUUUGUUGAUAAUGGAUUGGAUUGUGGGGGUUUCUUUUGCUGGCUUCUUCACAGAGAUCAGCUCCCCUUAAAUGCAUUAGCUGGUGCCCCGCGUGGACCAUCUAUUGGUGUGAUAAUUAUCUACGCCGUGGAUGUCUGCAAUCAUAUGGGUUUCGCACUGCUUCUWACCGUCUGUUCAUUCGGACAAUACAUGACAAUUUGACCUCAAAUCAGGUAGGACUACCCGCUGAACUUAAGCAUAUCAAUAAGCGGAGGAAAAGAAACUAACAAGGAUUCCCCUAGUAACUGCGAGUGAAGCGGGAAAAGCUCAAAUUUAAAAUCUGGCGGUCUCCGGCCGUCCGAGUUGUAAUCUAGAGAAGUGUUAUCCGCGCUGGACCGUGUACAA
rnacentral:rRNA from 1 species